rnacentral:rRNA from 1 species
CAUGCAAGUCGAGCGCGCCUUUCGGGGUGAGCGGCGGACGGGUUAGUAACGCGUGGGAAUAUACCCUUUUCUACGGAAUAGCCUCUGGAAACGGAGAGUAAUACCGUAUGAGCCCUUCGGGGGAAAGAUUUAUCGGGAAAGGAUUAGCCCGCGUUAGAUUAGGUAGUUGGUGGGGUAAUGGCCUACCAAGCCUACGAUCUAUAGCUGGUUUUAGAGGAUGAUCAGCAACACUGGGACUGAGACACGGCCCAGACUCCUACGGGAGGCAGCAGUGGGGAAUCUUGGACAAUGGGGGCAACCCUGAUCCAGCCAUGCCGCGUGAGUGAUGAAGGCCUUAGGGUCGUAAAGCUCUUUCGCCUGUGAAGAUAAUGACGGUAGCAGGUAAAGAAACCCCGGCUAACUCCGUGCCAGCAGCCGCGGUAAUACGGAGGGGGUUAGCGUUGUUCGGAAUUACUGGGCGUAAAGCGCACGUAGGCGGACUGGAAAGUUGGGGGUGAAAUCCCAGGGCUCAACCCUGGAACUGCCUCCAAAACUAUCAGUCUAGAGUUCGAGAGAGGUGAGUGGAAUUCCGAGUGUAGAGGUGAAAUUCGUAGAUAUUCGGAGGAACACCAGUGGCGAAGGCGGCUCACUGGCUCGAUACUGACG